rnacentral:rRNA from 1 species
ACAAGCAGUGGGAGCACGCUUAGGCGUGUGACUGCGUACCUUUUGUAUAAUGGGUCAGCGACUUAUAUUCUGUAGCAAGGUUAACCGAAUAGGGGAGCCGAAGGGAAACCGAGUCUUAACUGGGCGUUAAGUUGCAGGGUAUAGACCCGAAACCCGGUGAUCUAGCCAUGGGCAGGUUGAAGGUUGGGUAACACUAACUGGAGGACCGAACCGACUAAUGUUGAAAAAUUAGCGGAUGACUUGUGGCUGGGGGUGAAAGGCCAAUCAAACCGGGAGAUAGCUGGUUCUCCCCGAAAGCUAUUUAGGUAGCGCCUCGUGAAUUCAUCUCCGGGGGUAGAGCACUGUUUCGGCAAGGGGGUCAUCCCGACUUACCAACCCGAUGCAAACUGCGAAUACCGGAGAAUGUUAUCACGGGAGACACACGGCGGGUGCUAACGUCCGUCGUGAAGAGGGAAACAACCCAGACCGCCAGCUAAGGUCCCAAAGUCAUGGUUAAGUGGGAAACGAUGUGGGAAGGCCCAGACAGCCAGGAUGUUGGCUUAGAAGCAGCCAUCAUUUAAAGAAAGCG